rnacentral:rRNA from 1 species
AGAGUUUGAUCAUGGCUCAGGACGAACGCUGGCGGCGUGCUUAACACAUGCAAGUCGAACGAUGAACCUGGAGCUUGCUCUGGGGGAUUAGUGGCGAACGGGUGAGUAACACGUGAGUAACCUGCCCUGGACUCUGGGAUAACCCCGAGAAAUCGGAGCUAAUACCGGAUAGGACCUGGAACCGCAUGGUUUUGGGUGGAAAGUUUUUUCGGUCUGGGAUGGACUCGCGGCCUAUCAGCUUGUUGGUGAGGUAAUGGCUCACCAAGGCGUCGACGGGUAGCCGGCCUGAGAGGGUGACCGGCCACACUGGGACUGAGACACGGCCCAGACUCCUACGGGAGGCAGCAGUGGGGAAUAUUGCACAAUGGGCGAAAGCCUGAUGCAGCAACGCCGCGUGAGGGAUGACGGCCUUCGGGUUGUAAACCUCUUUUAGUAGGGAAGAAGGGCUUCGGCUUGACGGUACCUGCAGAAAAAGCACCGGCUAACUACGUGCCAGCCGCCGCGGUAAUAC